rnacentral:lncRNA from 1 species
UGAUAAAUAAUUUUUGUAGUGUAAAAGCUAAAUAAAUUCAUACAUAAUGUAAUACAGAUAACCAAAGUAUAAGAUUUAAUUUACAGUGACAUGUGGGCCCACGAACGACCAAAAGUAUCAAAAGAGGUAAACCUACAGUUUUUUAGGAUGCAAGUCUAAUUGUAGCCCUCAACGAAAUGAGCUAUUUACCGACUAUCCUAAGCCUGAAAUGGGUGAAAAGGAGGGUGGUGAGAUUAUAUAAUCUCAGUGAGUAAACAAAUACCAUCUAAAAUAUCUAAAGCUGAGUAAAUAGAGACAGAUUAAAAUAGAUUAUCAUACUGUAAUUCAUCACCUUUCAACUCAUUUCAACCAAAUAAAAUUAAUUCAUAUAAAUAGAGUAUUCAACAUGGCUUAUAAAUUUUUUAAAACUUUGGCUCGUGCCAAAAUCAUUUUCAUACUCAGUUAUCAGGGAUACCUUGGCCUAAGGCUAUCCCAACCGAGUCCGCCAAGGCUGUUAAAAAGUCAUGUAUGCAUAAAUCAUGUUUUUAUUUUAAAAACAUAGCCAUUCCUUGGCAUUAGCUGAGUCCACCCUCAUGUGGUGGUUUGGCGUGAAGUGAACUCUAAAGUUGUACCUCGGGAGUUACCCUACACGCCUCUCCGACAGAGGUAAGAAUAUAACGGGGUUACCGUGCCCCUCUAAUAGGCUGGUCCAGGGAACCCGCCCACUGCAGCAAGCUAAAUCCACCAAUUCAAUAAAAUCUCAAUACCAAUUCAGCCAUUCAUGCAAAUAUUGUCAUAAGCCAUUUGAUUCAAACCAUGAAUUUACAACACAUGAAAAUAGUCUCUAAUUACUCUAUUUUCAAACCAUCAUUUCAUUUCAAGACAAUGUUAUAAAAUCAUUUCAUUAAAUCACAUUUUAAUUACAAAACACAAAGAUUUACCAUUUAACUCAUUUUCCAUAAAAUCACAAAAUCGGAUAAAAACCACUUUAGAUAAUUAAGAUGAUAGUAAGGUUACUCACUAUUUCGGGAGUCGAAUUUUGAGUACUCUGAUUCUUGAUCCUCGGGUACUAUCUCUUUAUUUUUGCCAGAAUGCUCACCACUUAGACAUAAUGCACAAUAAGCCAUUUACUACAUUUGUGUUAAGUUGUUAUAAAACCAAUUCAGGCUCUAUACUAAUGCAUGAAAUGGGAUGUGAAAUACUCAGGUAACUAUCUAAAUACGGUGUUCAAUAUAAAUCAGUUAUGUACCUAAAUAAAACGGUAUUGGCCUAAUUCGAUCUAUCACCUAAUUAAUUGGCCAACACGUCCAAUUCAACUCCAAAUAAUUCCAUUUUUCUCCCAAUACUCCAAAUCAUCAAACACAAAUUAAAUAACUUGAAAUAUGGCAAAAUCAUGCUCACAUUUUCUUUUGGAAAAUUCGGCAAUGGUGGGUGCAUCAACACUAUAAUUUUUCAAGCUUGAUUCUCACACCAUAAAUCACUAAUUCUUAACCAAAUCACUUGAAAUAAAAUCAAAAUCAUCAUCAAUAUUCUACAUGGGUAAUUCGGCCAAUGAUGGGUGAUGGGAGAAAAUGAAUUUUUCUUGUUGGCUUUUCAUGCUACACAUCACUAACUAACUAAAAACACUACAAUACAUUGAAAUCUAACCAAAUCAAGCAUCAAAAUCUCUCUCUAAGUGUUCGGCCAGCAAGAGACCCAUCAUGAAAUCAUGUGAUUCAACCAUGAAAAAUGAAAAAGGAUGUAUGGGAAAGGUAGAUCACAAGUCAAAAUCAAGAAAUUUUACCUUUGAUUGCUUGAUUACUUGAAAUCCACCAAUUUUCUCUUGAAUUUUCACUCUAGGUUUUUGUUCUUUCUUUUCUUCCUUUGUUCUUGCUUUGGCCGGC